AAAGAAAAUAACCCAAACUCUUGGCCUUGGCACUAAUAUAGCACUAUCUAAAGCUUUGCAGCAAGAAUGGGACUGAGCACUGCAUGAAGAGAGCAGAGAAGAAGCAAAAAGUAAAUUACAGGGGCAACAAAACCAGCAAUAAGAGCAACGGUGACUUGAUCACAGAACUUGGGUACUUGUCCACAAAUAGGUAGCCAACCG
rnacentral:misc_RNA from 1 species